AAAAAUGUACCCGCCUAGAAACACACGAAAACUCUAGUUCCAUACAAAAUUCAACCAUUUGAAGGUCCUCCUGGUAACAUGAAAAGCACUGCUGGACCACGUGCAAACGGAUUUCGUCGCGAUCAACAAAAAGAAUCACCACUAGAUUUAACUGGCCAGCAUCAACGGAGCUGCUUGUCGUGACUGGACUAACAUGACAUAACUGAAACUUGUAACUUCCCGGGGAGAUACAAACUUCGAGGACCAAAAAAAGUACUCAGAAAUCUAUAUGUAGGAUGAAAGAAACUAGGAAUCCUCCUGCGCGGGCAAGGAGUGCCAGCCACAGGAAGGACUACAAUCAGAAAACAAAGGGCUUUGCGGC
rnacentral:lncRNA from 1 species